UAACUGGUCCUGACAAGUACAUUUGUCUUU
rnacentral:piRNA from 1 species